rnacentral:tRNA from 1 species
GGUCAUGUAGCCUAGUGGUCAUGACAUCUGCCCGGUAAGCGGAAGGUCGUGGGUUCGAUUCCCAUCCCUUGACACU